UUUCAGGGAACAUUCAACGCUGUCGGUGAGUUUGAUGCUAUUGGAGAAACCAUCGACCGUUGAUUGUACCUUGUAU
rnacentral:pre_miRNA from 13 species